CACGUAGGGCGCGAGCGUUGUCCGGAAUUAUUGGGCGUAAAGAGCUCGUAGGCGGCCUGUUGCGUCUGCUGUGAAAACCCGAGGCUCAACCUCGGGCCUGCAGUGGGUACGGGCAGACUAGAGUGCGGUAGGGGAGAUUGGAAUUCCUGGUGUAGCGGUGGAAUGCGCAGAUAUCAGGAGGAACACCAAUGGCGAAGGCAGAUCUCUGGGCCGUAACUGACGCUGAGGAGCGAAAGCAUGGGGAGCGAACAGG
rnacentral:rRNA from 1 species